rnacentral:rRNA from 1 species
AUUGAACGCUGGCGGCAGGCCUAACACAUGCAAGUCGAACGAGUGGCGGACGGGUGAGUAAUGUCUGGUAAACUGCCUGAUGGAGGGGGAUAACUACUGGAAACGGUAGCUAAUACCGCAUACCAUCGGAUGUGCCCAGAUGGGUUUAGCUUGUAGGUGGGGUAAAGGCUCACCUAGGCGACGAGCCCUAGCUGGUCGGAGAGGAUGACCAGCAACAAUGGAGCUGAGUCACGGUCCAGAGUCCAACGGCAGGCAGCAGUGGGGAAUAUUGCACAAUGGGCGCAACCCUGAGGCAGCCAUGCCGCGUGUGUGAAGAAGGCCUUCGGGUUGUAAAGCACUGUCAGCGAGGAGGCGUUAAUCUCAGAAGAAGCACCGGCUAACUCCGUUCCAGCAGCCGCGGUAAUAC